GGAGACGUGACCGAGAGGCCGAAGGUGCUCCCCUGCUAAGGGAGUAUACGGUGAUGAACUGUAUCAAGGGUUCGAAUCCCUUCGUCUCCGCCA
rnacentral:tRNA from 1 species